rnacentral:rRNA from 1 species
GACGAACGCUGGCGGCGUGCCUAAUACAUGCAAGUCGAGCGGACAGAAGGGAGCUUGCUCCCAGAUGUUAGCGGCGGACGGGUGAGUAACACGUGGGUAACCUGCCUGUAAGACUGGGAUAACUCCGGGAAACCGGAGCUAAUACCGGAUAGUUCCUUGAACCGCAUGGUUCAAGGAUGAAAGACGGUUUCGGCUGUCACUCACAGAUGGACCCGCGGCGCAUUAGCUAGUUGGUGAGGUAACGGCUCACCAAGGCGACGAUGCGUAGCCGACCUGAGAGGGUGAUCGGCCACACUGGGACUGAGACACGGCCCAGACUCCUACGGGAGGCAGCAGUAGGGAAUCUUCCGCAAUGGACGAAAGUCUGACGGAGCAACGCCGCGUGAGUGAUGAAGGUUUUCGGAUCGUAAAGCUCUGUUGUUAGGGAAGAACAAGUGCAAGAGUAACUGCUUGCACCUUGACGGUACCUAACCAGAAAGCCACGGCUAACUACGUGCCAGCCGCCGCAGUAA